rnacentral:tRNA from 1 species
UGGAGAGUGAAGGGUGCCUGGUGGCCCCCGCGGUCUUCAAAACCGUUGUCUGCCCGUUUUGCGGGACGAGGUAGGUUCGAUUCCUACCCUCUCC